rfam:Gossypium arboreum cultivar AKA8401 contig_1074_11, whole genome shotgun sequence.
UGUUUAAAAUUUCAUCUAUUUCAACUAUUAAAAACUAACAUGACUGACAGAGUAACUAAAUAGUGCACAUAGCAUGCCACGUGUACCUUAUACUGACAUACAAGGACCAUUUAAUUUUUAACGGUAGAAAUGAAAGAAAUUUUUAACA